rnacentral:rRNA from 1 species
GUCUCAACGAGAGACUCGGUGAAAUCAUAGUACCUGUGAAGAUGCAGGUUACCCGCGACAGGUCUGAAAGACCUCGUGGAGCUUUACUGUAUCCUGAUAUUGAAAUUCGUCUCAGCUUGUUCAGUUUAGGUAGGAGCCUUUGAUACGUGAGUGCUAUCUUGCGUGGUGGCGCUGGUGGGAUACUACCCUAGCUGUGUCGGCUUUCUAACCCGCACCACUUAUCGUGGCGGCAGACAGUGUCAGGCUGGCAGUUUGACUGGGGCGGGCCCCGCCUCUAAUGUGACUGAGGCUGUCUCAUGUUCCCCUCUGACGGUGGGGAAUCAUUCAUAG